AACGAACGCUGGCGGCAUGCCUAACACAUGCAAGUCGAACGAGACCUUCGGGUCUAGUGGCGCACGGGUGCGUAACGCGUGGGAACCUGCCCUUAGGUUCGGAAUAACUCCCCGAAAGGGGUGCUAAUACCGGAUAAUGUCUUCGGACCAAAGAUUUAUCGCCUUUGGAUGGGCCCGCGUUGGAUUAGCUAGUUGGUAGGGUAAAAGCCUACCAAGGCGACGAUCCAUAGCUGGUCUGAGAGGAUGAUCAGCCACACUGGGACUAAGACACGGCCCAGACUCCUACGGGAGGCAGCAGUGGGGAAUAUUGGACAAUGGGCGAAAGCAUGAUCCAGCAAUGCCGCGUGAGUGAUGAAGGCCUUAGGGUUGUAAAGCUCUUUUACCCGGGAUGAUAAUGACAGUACCGGGAGAAUAAGCUCCGGCUAACUCCGUG
rnacentral:rRNA from 1 species